CAGUCACCUCUGCCACAGUUUCUUCCACCACCUCUGUCUCAUCAGGCAGGGCUUCUUGCUGCUGUUGGAAAGAGAAAGUAGCGUUCAGAGGGGUCAGGAAUAAGGCCAGCUUCACCUCCAAAGUGCCUGUGGCCUCGGAUACAGGCUAGGGGAGCUUGGAGAGCAGCUUACUGGAGAUCCCCAAAGUUGUGCCUCAUGGACUGCCAUGGUGAGGGACAGAACAAAGAAGAAGCCAGUCAUGUGAGCACCGUGGAACACUCAAGCAGCUCCCAUUUUAUAUAUUUUAUAUCCUAGGUGUCUACCUAAGAUUUAGCUUGGAAAAGUAUUUCUGCUGCUUUGAAUUCUUAUAAAGUCUGAAAAUCACUGAUCCAGACCAAUUCUUUCACUUUACAGAUAGGAAAAUUGACAUCCAGAGGGGAUGACACUGUGAAUUUUAACAGAUGUCAUCAUCUUCCUCACAGUGUGAUAUUAUUAGUAGUAUUAUUAGGCAAUUUUUCUUGCCAUUUCAACUUGGAGUAGGAGGAAGCAAGAAAACACACAACUUUGAGGCCCUUAGCUGGCUGGAGCUGCUUCAAAACUUAAUGCCAACUUUGAGAAACUUUUGCCUCCAUCUACCAGCCUGAUCAAGAUUGCCAGGGUCUGCCAUCACUCCCACUUCUUAGUAAACAGAGGAUGAGGGGAUCACAGGUUGAAAGAAAUUGCACUUUUUGCCUGCCCUGUUUCUUCCUCCUCUCCUUGUGAAGGCUUCCAGAUGAGCUGUGGAUAACUACUCCUGUCCCUGCAUGCAAUGCUUCGAGGAACUGUCUGUCAAUCAAGGGGCCCCACUCUCACCUGGCCAAGAAGCUGGCUCAGGACCCAAGCUCAGCCAGAUUGGCUCUCAUUUUUUGAAUUUAUAAAAACCUUCUUGGCACAUUCUCUCAAGAUGUGAAAAUUGCUGGAGUUGAUUCAUUCAGACAGCAAUAUCUCAGAGACUGUCCAUUAGUUCUUAACUCCCAAAGCCUAGAGCUGCCCUUUUCCAGUCCUCCCCAAGGCCUUUAAUAUUAUAAUCUACCUCUGUAUCUUCCCCUCCUUCCCCAAUUUAGUCAGAUUGAACUGUUGCUUACAACCAAACAACCCUCACUGUUUCAGAAGCCAACACAUUCCUCUCUCUAUAGCUUGAAUCUCUUCUAAUACCACCCCUACCAGAAAUCCCCCACAUCCUGUCUCCUGCCUGCUUGAAUUCCUCAUAUGACAAAGAGGUCAUUUCCUUCUAAAGCAAUCCUAGUUCAUUGCUGGGAGGCUCUGACUACUAAGAAGUUUAUCUAACAUUACAUGGAACUCUCUCUUCUCUGAUACCUCCACCCAAUGGUCCUCAUCCCAGUUUUUAUCCCGAGCUUCCUAACUUAAGAAAAAAAAAAGACCACUAACUUGAAAUGGGGAAGUCCCUGUUCCCUUUCAGCAUCCAGGGCUGGCAGGCUCAGAACCCCUGGUGCUAGCGGUAGGAAUGAAAACAAGAAGACAUGAUAUUUAGGUACUUACAGGGGCUGCCAAGGCCCUCCCGGCCAGGCAAAGGAGAAAGAAGAUCCAGGCCCUCAUGGUGCUGGGAACCCUAUGGGGAGGAGAGAUUGAGAGUUCAGUGAGGGUGAGACUUCCUUAUGGAGAUUUCCUUCUGAAUUCCUGAUAUGUGCAAGAUAAUGUUAGAUGGUACAAGUUAAAUGAUAGUGAAAAACAUGAGGAGGUUGGUUCCAUUUAAUAUUCUUUCAAUUCUGCUUAUAUGAGAAGAAAGUCUCAGUUUGGUGCCAAGAUGUCUUAAACACCUCCUUUAUACUCAUCUAUCUCCUUUUUUAACAAAAAGAGAAUAAGCCUCCAGCUCAGAGCUUCCACAGGAAGUUAUAUCCAGCUGGAACUGAAUCAAGUUGUUUUGUUUUUUUUAUGUGUUUGUUUUUACAGUUUCCUUCUAUUUAUGACAAAGGUACACAGAGUUUUUUCCAUUUAUGGUAGUGAUAUAAAAUCUGCUUUUGUAAUACAUUUAUUAAAGUUUUUGCAAAGUGAUUCAACUAAGGUGAUGGGCUAACUAGUUAAGUUUGGGCAAUGCCAAACCAGAUCAUCUUCAAGGUCCCUUCAAUCCCUGAUAUUCUAAAAUUAUUUUUUUCCCUAAACCCAAUCUCUCCUCUUCCUCCUCUGUCGCCUCCUCCCCCUCCUUCCUACUCCCUCUGCAAUGGGAGAAGUUAAUAGGCAGGAACUUCUUGCCAGUUUGGGACAAUGAGAUCCACAUUCUAAAACAAAGAACAAUAGUCUUGGAAUGUAACCCAUGGAAACUUGAGGGUGGCCACAUUUUUCUCCAUUCUACCCAGAAGAGACAGCACUUCUUUAGGUCCUGUACGGAAACCAUCCAGAUGCUUCCAUGUGUUGCAGAGGGGAUGUUAGCUGAGAUCUAGAAAAUACCUCUGUUCUGGGUGUUUUCAUAAUCCAGCACCCCACUGGGGGCUCAAGUCACAUAUUUCUGCCCAAUAGUACAGAUGAGAAGACCAAGGCCUAGAGGAAAGGAGAAAACUGCCAACGGCUAACAGCAAAGACAGCUGAAUGGUUCCAGUCUUUCAGUCCUGCUCCUGGCCAACACUGGACCUCUCAAAGUCUAGCCAACUCCUCUUCCAGCGCCUUGAUAAACAACCCCCUCAUGCUGGGAACCACAGCAGUGGGCUGUUUUUCUCCCUCAUGCACCCCAGGAAGCCUCUCCUCUUUGCCUGGGCUUUCUUCCCAAGGCCUUAGCUGCCAACCCAUUUUACACCC
rnacentral:lncRNA from 1 species